ensembl:lncRNA
AAAAAACAAACACUGUGACCUUGUGUUAGAGAACAAGAUCAGUAAGAGAGUUCUGAGAGCACUUUGGCCUCCUGCCUGCAAUCACGUUUCAGUUCCGCAUGGCGAACUCCACCCUUCAAUGGAUACCUGCAACUGCUUUUCUCAGUGAGGUGGUGUCCACUUGCAUCACACUGGGAUUGAGACUACUUUAGUUAGAGCAGGCUCUUCCAACUCAUGGCCCACGGCCACAUGCGGCCCAGCAUGGCUGGCAAUGCAGCCACCCUUUGUUCCAUGCUAUGAAGGCAGCAGCUCCUCACUGCAGAGUGGCCCUGGACACACACUCAUUGCUCAGCAACAGCCAAACAAUCAGUGUGUCAUUACGGCUAUGCCUAGUGAAUGAAACCAGGGCACGGGAAGAGCAGUUCUGCAUAGUGCUGACUCAAAUGAUGCAAGCAGUUAUUCUGUGGAGGCAACUGUGCAUAGGAUCUUCAAAAAGGCCCCAUGCUCUUUGCUGGUGUUUUAGACAUACACACAUACUCAACACAUUGAGGCCAAUCAAUUACUGAGCACGGAGAAGGUGUCAAGUUGAGUUACAGUGGCUCUUUCAGAAACAGGAGUGAAAUCCAAAACAUACAAAAGCUCUACAUAAACCUCCUGAAAAUCAGCUCUGAAGUCUUGGGCAGUUCUUCCAUUUGCAAAUGGACAGUCAGUACUCUUCCAGAAAUGCUUUCAAGUUCAUCAAAAUGUUACAGCCCUUCAUUGCUCUGAUUGCUACUCAUAUAUUUUUCUUUGUUCCGGAGUUAAAUUCUGUAUAUCUACUUCUGUCAGCUCUGCACAGCACCGAAAUGAUGGCUGAUUCAGAAGGUAAUGGAAUUUUUUUUUCCAGGUCAGUAAAUAUAAACUUAGG